CCUACGGGUGGCAGCAGUGAGGAAUAUUGGUCAAUGGGCGGAAGCCUGAACCAGCCAAGUCGCGUGAGGGAUUAAGGCCCUGCGGGUCGUAAACCUCUUUUGCCGGGGAGCAGUGGUCCGGACGCGUCCGGACCGGGAGAGUACCCGGAGAAAAAGCAUCGGCUAACUCCGUGCCAGCAGCCGCGGUCAUACGGAGGGUGCGAGGUUUCUCCGGAUUUUGUGGGGUUAAAGGGUGCGUAGGCGGGCAUUUAAGCCGGCGGUCAAAUGUCGGGGCUCAACCAUAGAAUUGCCGUUGAAACGGGGGGGCUUGAGGAUGUUUGAGGCAGGCGGAAUGCGUGGUGUAGCGGUGAAAUGCUUAGAUAUCACGCAGAACCCCGAUGGCGAAGGCAGCCUGCCAAGCCAUGACUGACGCUGAUGCACGAAAGCGUGGGGAUCAAACAGGAUUAGAUACCCCAGUAGUC
rnacentral:rRNA from 1 species